rnacentral:lncRNA from 1 species
CAAAACAGUGUUUUCCUGAACUCUUUACCUGUUGUUUUUCAUCGGUUUUGGUGAUCACCAGAGUACUUGGAGUCCCCUGACGUGGUUAGCAGAACCUCUCAGCUCUGCUCUCACCUGAGCCAUUUGAGAUAAAGCGCUUUUGUGGAGUCAGUUAACGAUGCUGCCCCUGGAAAUCAUAUACCCAGUGGCAUUGUGGUGUGACUUCAUUAUAUCACAGGAUAAGUCUGAAAAGGCCUACAGUAAGUUUCUUUUUGAAAUUUUAUUUUUCUUAUGAUAAUUCCAAAUAUUUAUCUCAUUGUAUUUUUCAUUCAAAUGAAGUAGCCACUAGUAAUAGUGGUUUACCAUAAGCAUCUUUAUAUUGUGCAUUAAAUAAUUUGUGCUGUUAGGAUUGAACUCCUUUGAGGGAAAAAACACAUAAGUCUUGUACCCUUUCUUUUCAGGUAGCAAUGAAGUAGAAAAAUGCAUAUGUAUAUUGCAAAGCUCAUGUAUUAACAUGCAUAGCAUAGAAGGAAAGGAUUACAUAGCUUCAUUACCAUUUCAGGUUGCAAAUGUUUGGCCCACUAAGUAUGGAUUGCUGUUUGAACGAAGCGCUUCUUCACAUGAAGUACCUCCAGGUUCACCCAGAGAACCUUUACCUACUAUGUUCAGCAUGCUGCACCCACUAGAUGAAAU